GUGCCAGCAGCCGCGGUCAUACGUAGGAUCCAAGCGUUAUCCGGAAUUACUGGGCGUAAAGAGUUGCGUAGGUGGCAAAGUAAGCGAAGUGUGAAAGCUCACGGCUCAACCGUGGGACUAUGCUUUGAACUGCUUAGCUUGAGUAUGGGAGAGGUAGAUGGAAUUUCUAGUGUAGGAGUGAAAUCCGUAGAUAUUAGAAGGAACACCGAUGGCGUAGGCAGUCUACUGGCCCAUUACUGACACUAAGGCACGAAAGCGUGGGGAGCGAACGGGAUUAGAUACCCCGGUAGUCCACGCCGUAAACUAUGGAUGCUAGCUGUUAUCAGUAUCGACCCUGGUAGUAGCGAAGCUAACGCGUUAAGCAUCCCGCCUGGGGAGUACGGUCGCAAGAUUAAA
rnacentral:rRNA from 1 species